ACACAUGCAAGUCGAGGGGCAGCGCGGGAUAGCAAUAUUCUGGCGGCGACCGGCGGAAGGGUGCGUAACGCGUGAGCGACAUGCCCGUUGCCCGGGGACAGCCGGUGGAAACGCCGACUAAUCCCCGAUGGGAUACGAUGCUGCAUGGCAUUGUAUUGAAAGUUACGGCGGCGACGGAUUGGCUCGCGUCCGAUUAGCUGGUUGGCGGGGUAACGGCCCACCAAGGCUGCGAUCGGUAGGGGUUCUGAGAGGAAGGCCCCCCACAAUGGGACUGAGACACGGCCCAUACUCCUACGGGAGGCAGCAGUGAGGAAUAUUGGUCAAUGGGCGGAAGCCUGAACCAGCCAUGCCGCGUGCGGGAAGGAGGCCCUAUGGGCUGUGAACCGCUUUUGCCUGGGGGCAAUAAGGGCGUCGCGCACGCCCGAUGAGAGUACCAGGCGAAUAAGCAUCGGCUAACUCCGUGCCAGCAGCCGCGGUAAUACGGGGGAUGCGAGCGUUAUCCGGAUUCAUUGGGUUUAAAGGGUGCGUAGGCUGUGCGUCAAGUCGGGGGUGAAAUUCCGGUGCUCAACACCGGGGCUGCCCUUGAUACUGUCGCGCUGGAGUGCGGAUGCCGCCGGAGGAAUGAGUGGUGUAGCGGUGAAAUGCUUAGAUAUCACUCAGAACACCGAUUGCGAAGGCAUCUGGCGAAUCCGUAACUGACGCUGAGGCACGAAAGCGUGGGGAUAGAACAGGAUUAGAUACCCUGGUAUUCCACGCCGUAAACGAUGAUGGCUAACCGCCGGCGACACACUGUCGGUGG
rnacentral:rRNA from 1 species